rnacentral:rRNA from 1 species
AUUGAACGCUGGCGGCGUGCCUAAUACAUGCAAGUCGAACGCAGUGGGGACGGGUGAGUAACACGUGGGUAACCUCCCAUCAGAGGGGAUAACACUUGGAAACAGGUGCUAAACCGAUACUGAUGGAUGGACCCGAGGUGCAUUAGCUAGUUGGUGAGGUAACGGCUCACCAAGGCCGCACUGCAUAGCCGACCUGUGAGGGUAAUCGGCCACACGGGUACUGAGACACUGCCCAGAUGCAUACGUGAGGCAGCAGUAGGGAAUCUUCUGCAAUGGACGAAAGUCUGACCGAGCAACGCCGCGUGAGUGAAGAAGGUUUUCGGAUCGUAAAACUCUGUUGUUAGGGAAGCGGUAUCUAACCAGAAAGCCACGGCUAACUACGUGCCAGCAGCCGCGGUAAUUC